UUCCAAGUGCUUGUCAGGGGUGGAUAAUGCAGCACACUGCUGGUUUUUCAUGUUUCAUCACCACAAGGAAGCACUCUGUUCCCAACCUGCUCCUGGAGCCAUGGGAGAAGCUGUUCCCCAGCCCUCGGUGUGUGAUGGAUGCUCUCGGGAGGCUGCAGUGAGAUACAGCACCCCUGAGGCUGAGAAAACUGCCAGGCCUGCAGCUCCACUGAGGUCUACAGAAUACCUUGUGAUGAUUAGGUCUUGUUAAAUCCAUUUAACAUAGAAGAUGACACAUUGGAAAGCUGAAUACCUUGCCCAAGCUUCUGCCACUUCCACUGCCUUAAAUUUUUUUUACCAAGCUUGGUGCAUCCAGCAUGGGCAGAAAAAGAAGAAGAAGAAGAAAGAAGAAGAAGAAGAAAAAAGAAGAAAGAAGAAGAUGAAGAAGAAGAAGAUGAUGAAGAUGAAGAAGAAGAAGAAGAAUUACUCCUUAUCCCCAGCCAGAUUAGCAGCCACUCAAGCACAGAGUUUUAGAGGAAUAUGCUACGUGAGAAAAGAGAGAAAUUGCAAGGUGGUGAGAGGGCAAGAAUGGAGAAGAGCUUAAUUAAAUUAACUGAGGGAAUAUUUACACUUCCCAUUUCUGAGAUUCGCAAUUCUGUAGAACAGUCUCCCAGAGGAAGUCAUGAAAACCUCAUCACUGAGCCAUUUUAAAUGAGUUGGAACAGCUCUACAGUGAACACUGUGGGGGCUGUGGACUGGCUCAUGGCUCCUCUCUCUGUCUCUCUUUAUAACUAAUGAAGCACACUCCCCUUAAAUCUCCAUAGCACAAACCAUGGGAUAAUCCAUAUCAACUCAUGAAUGUAUUUCACUUGCAAAAUGUGAAUAGAUACUUAUGCAAAUAAAUGGAUCAGAUUACCAACA
rnacentral:lncRNA from 1 species